rnacentral:lncRNA from 1 species
CCAAGCCUCGAAAUAACUCCUACAUCUUAUCAUCUUUGUUUCCAGUUUCUGCCGCCCCCUCCCAACUGCCCUCUCGCCCACUGACCUCCCUCCCACUGCCUUUCCCCCACUGCCUUUUCCUCCACUGCUCUGCCUCCCUCUACUUCCCUGCCUCUCCCCCACUGCCCUGCCUCCCCGCCACUGCCCUGCCUCCCUCUACUGCUCUGCCUUCCCCCACUGCCCUUGCACCCCCAACUGCCCUGCCUCCUCCUCACCACCCCCCCUCACUGCCUCACGCCUCUCCCACUGCCCUGCCAACCCCCCACUUCUCUACCUCCUGAGCGGCCCUUCCCACCCACUGUCCUGCUACCCCAUGACUGCCCUGCCUCCCACCAACUGCCCUGCCUCCCCCUCACUUCCCUGCCUUCCCCCACUGCCCUGCCUCCCCUUUCCAAGACAAAAUAAAACCAAUCUUCACUCAAAAGAGUGGUGCG